CAGUACAAACCAGUAUAAACCAGUAUAGAUCAGUAAGGGUCGGUUCCUGUGCUCGGGGGGCCACGAGCCCCAGGUGGACCCCAACGCCUGCCCCGGUGACUCCGGUGGCCCCGUCGUCGUCACUUGGGGGAAGCGACACUUCCAGGUGGGCGUGGUCAGCUGGGGCGUGGUCCCCGCCUGCCGCCAGCGCUGAUCCCUGGGUGACCCCAGGUGACC